rfam:Pseudomonadales bacterium RIFCSPLOWO2_12_59_9 rifcsplowo2_12_sub10_scaffold_2631, whole genome shotgun sequence.
UUCGGCUCGCAACGGUUUCUCCGUUGCCCUCUACCAGCCGUCGCCACUCCAUUCUUAUUCACCUAAGUUCACCGAAUAAGUGCAGUGUUCCUGUCGCCUUUCUCGCGACGCGGC